rnacentral:rRNA from 1 species
CCCUUAGAUGUUCUGGGCUGCACGCGUGCUACAAUGGCGUUUCCAGCAAGUCUGCGAACCCGAGAGGGCCAGCGGAUCUUCGAAUUGGCGUCGUGAUCGGGACAGUCGAUUGCAAUUAUUUGACUCAAACGAGGAAUUCCUUGUAAUCGCGAUUCAUCAUAUCGCGCCGAAUACGUCCCUGCCCUUUGUACACACCGCCCGUCGCUCCUACCGAUUGAGCGAUCCGGUAAAUGUUUUGGAUUGGUGCCGGGGCGGCUAGCUGCCGGUCGCUACGAAAUUUUGUGAACCUUAUCGCUUAGAGGAAGGAAAAGUCGUAACA